rnacentral:rRNA from 1 species
AUUGAACGCUGGCGGCAGGCCUAACACAUGCAAGUCGAACGAGCGGCGGACGGGUGAGUAAUGUCUGGGAAACUGCCUGAUGGAGGGGGAUAACUACUGGAAACGGUAGCUAAUACCGCAUACCAUCAGAUGUGCCCAGCUGUGAUGAGCUAGUAGGUGGGGUAAGGGCUCACCAAGGCGACGAUCCCUAGCUUGUCUGAGAGGAUGACCAGCCACACUGGAACUGAGACACGGUCCAGAUUCCUACGGGAGGCAGAAGUGGGGAAUAUUGCACAAUGUGCGCAAGCCUUAUGCAGCCAUGCCGCGUGUAUGAAGAAGGCCUUCGGGUUGUAAAGUACUUUCAGCGGGGAGGCGUUACCCGCAGAAGAAGCACCGGCUAACUCCGUGCCAGCAGCCGCGGUAAUUC